rnacentral:rRNA from 1 species
UACGAAGGGGGCUAGCGUUGUUCGGAAUUACUGGGCGUAAAGGGCGCGUAGGCGGUGGAUCAAGUCAGGCGUGAAAGCCCCGGGCUCAACCUGGGAAUUGCAUUCGAGACUGAAUAGCUAGGGUACGGUAGAGGGAAGCGGAAUUUCCGGUGUAGCGGUGAAAUGCGUAGAUAUCGGAAGGAACAUCAGUGGCGAAAGCGGCUUCCUGGACCAGUACCGACGUUCAGGCACGAAAGCGUGGGGAGCAAACAGG